GCUGAGAGGAGGCGAGAGGCGGGGGCGCUAGGGCCGAGAUCAUGUCUGACUGGGAGAGGUUUCCUUGGCAGCAGAGGACGCUAGGUUUGGGAUGAAAGAAGCUGGGCAGAUGCAAAAUCUGGAGAGCGCGAGGGCCGGGCGGUCAGUCAGCACCCAGACUGGCAGCAUGACCGGUCAGAUACCAAGGCUUUCUAAAGUCAACCUUUUCACUCUGCUCAGCCUCUGGAUGGAGCUCUUUCCAGCAGAAGCCCAGCGGCAAAAAUCUCAGAAAAAUGAAGAGGGAAAGCAUGGACCCUUAGGAGAUAAUGAAGAGAGGACCAGAGUAUCUACUGACAAAAGACAGAAAACCAUGUUCUGCUUGUUUGAAAAUGAUUGUAAAUGCUGGAGUUAACCGAAUUUCAUAUUGGCCUGCUGAUCCAGAAAUAAGUUUGCUUACGGAGGCUUCUAGUUCUGAAGAUGCAAAGUUAGAUGCCAAAGCAGUGGAAAGAUUGAAGUCAAACAGUCGGGCCCAUGUGUGUGUCUUACUUCAACCUUUGGUGUGUUAUAUGGUGCAGUUUGUAGAGGAGACCUCUUACAAAUGUGACUUUAUUCAAAAAAUUACAAAAACAUUGCCGGAUGCUAACACUGACUUUUAUUAUGAAUGUAAACAAGAAAGAAUAAAAGAAUAUGAAAUGUUA
rnacentral:sRNA from 1 species